UACGUAGGGCGCAAGCGUUGUCCGGAAUUAUUGGGCGUAAAGAGCUCGUAGGCGGUCUGUCGCGUCCGUUGUGAAACUCGUAGGCUCAAACCUCGGGCUGCAGUGGAUACGGGCAGACUAGAGUGCGGUAGGGGAGACUGGAAUUCCUGGUGUAGCGGUGGAAUGCGCAGAGUAUCAGGAGGAACACCGGUGCGAAGGCGGCAUCCUGGACCAACACUGACGCUGAGAGCGAAAGCCAGGG
rnacentral:rRNA from 1 species